GCAGUUGUCGUGAUGAAAUUAUAGUUCAGCUGAUUGGCUGUGCUGAGAUACUUAUGUCUUUCGCUCCUAUCUGAACAAUUGC